AAAGUUCUAUCAAGGAUACUGCAAAUAAUGACACUGCCUCCAGGUGAAUGAAGCACCACGAGGUGAAGACGGAUCCUGGGAAGAAGAUAGACACCCUCAAGAGAUCUCUUCAGUUAAAGGACCACUCUAGGCACCCAGACCACUUCAGCUUAAUGAAGUGGUCUGGGUGCCUGGUGCAGCUAGGGUUAACCCAUUUUUUAAUAAACAUAGCAGUUUCAGAGAAACUGCUAUGUUUAUGAAUGGGUU